ACCUUUGCAAUAGGCGAAAGCCUGACAAGGUUACUCUGAGUGAUCUCCGCUAAGGAAAUCUUUUGACACCUCUAAAAAUGGUGUAGAAUAAGGGGUGGGCAAGCCUGGUGUCAGCCGCCGCGGUAAUACCAGCACCCCGAGUGGUCGGGACGAUUAUUGGGCCUAAAGCAUCCGUAGCCGGUUCUUUAAGUCCUCCGUUAAAUCCACCUGCUUAACAGAUGGGCUGCGGAGGAUACUAUAGAGCUAGGAGGCGGGAGAGGCAAGCGGUACUCAGUGGGUAGGGGUAAAAUCCGUUGAUCCAUUGAAGACCACCAGUGGCGAAGGCGGCUUGCCAGAACGCGCUCGACGGUGAGGGAUGAAAGCUGGGGGAGCAAACCGGAUUAGAUACCCGGGUAGUCCCAGCUGUAAACGAUGCAGACUCGGUGAUGAACAGGCUUCGUGCCUGUUCAGUGCCGCAGGGAAGCCGUUAAGUCUGCCGCCUGGGGAGUACGGUCGCAAGACUGAAACUUAA
rnacentral:rRNA from 1 species